UACAGAGGUCCCAAGCGUUGUUCGGAUUCAUUGGGCGUAAAGGGUGCGUAGGCGGCGCGGUAAGUCGGGUGUGAAGUCUCGGGGCUUAACUCCGAAACUGCAUUCGAUACUGCCGUGCUUGAGGACUGGAGAGGAGACUGGAAUUUACGGUGUAGCGGUGAAAUGCGUAGAUAUCGUAAGGAAGACCAGUGGCGAAGGCGGGUCUCUGGACAGUUCCUGACGCUGAAGCACGAAGGCCAGGGGAGCAAACGGG
rnacentral:rRNA from 1 species